GAUGAACGCUGGCGGCGUGCCUAACACAUGCAAGUCGAGCGAAGCGCCUUACUUGAUUUCUUCGGGAUGAAAGUAUUGUGACUGAGCGGCGACGGGUGAGUAACGCGUGGAUAACCUGCCUCAUACAGGGGGAUAACAGUUAGGAAUGACUGCUAAUACCGCAUAAGACCACAGCACCGCAUGGUGCAGGGGUAAAAACUCCGGUGGUAUGAGAUGGAUCCGCGUCUGAUUAGCUAGUUGGUAAGGUAACGGCUUACCAAGGCAACGAUCAGUAGCUGGUUUGAGAGGAUGAUCAGCCACAAUGGGACUGAGACACGGCCCAU
rnacentral:rRNA from 1 species